CCCACAGGUGUGGGAGGUGUGGCUGUGUAAAUCACAGCCCUAGGGGAGUGACAAAGGAGAUUCCCCUUCUACCUUCCCUAGGAUGUCCCUGGGAAUUUCACAGAGCCACGUAGCCCAGGUCCCUUAACUGUGCUAGGAGUCCUAGGGAAGUUUAUCUCUAUUCAGGGGCAACCAGACAGGAAAAAGCUGCCAGUGGAGGAGGCGUUAGAGUCCUUUACAGUCAUCUUCUCCUUGGAAGCCCCUGCAGAGCAGAGGCUGGAAGAGCUGCCUUCUCUGCCUGCAACAUCUGCAAUAUCCCCACCUCCUUGCCAGGCCUGUGGGCACCAUUUUUCCUUAAAGAAGCGUGGAGCAUACAGAGGACAGUCAGUCUUGUUGUGGGGGGAAACAUGGUGAAGGACAAAGGACAAGCUCAUGAUGCCUGUCCUGGUACUAAGAGAAGAUAG
rnacentral:lncRNA from 1 species